rnacentral:tRNA from 1 species
GCCGGGGUGGCGAAAUGGUAGACGCACUAGUUUUAGGAACUAGCGAGGCAACUCAUGGAGGUUCAAGUCCUCUCCCCGGCA